rnacentral:ncRNA from 12 species
ACUAAAAGAGGUGGAAAUUAGGGAGUCCACACGCUUACAGCUUUAGAAGUAGAACACAGCUAAAGUCAAUAGUGAUAGAUACCCAUUGCUAGGGAUAGCAUUGAUAAGGAUAAGAGAUGAGGGGAGUUUCUCUCCCUCCUUUUAGU